rnacentral:rRNA from 1 species
UGGGGAAUAUUGGACAAUGGGCGAAAGCCUGAUCCAGCCAUGCCGCGUGUGUGAAGAAGGUCUUCGGAUUGUAAAGCACUUUAAGUUGGGAGGAAGGGCAGUAAGCGAAUACCUUGCUGUUUUGACGUUACCGACAGAAUAAGCACCGGCUAACUCUGUGCCAGCAGCCGCGGUAAUACAGAGGGUGCAAGCGUUAAUCGGAAUUACUGGGCGUAAAGCGCGCGUAGGUGGUUCGUUAAGUUGAAUGUGAAAGCCCCGGGCUCAACCUGGGAGCUGCAUCCAAAACUGGCGAGCUAGAGUAGGGCAGAGGGUGGUGGAAUUUCCUGUGUAGAGGUGAAAUGCGUAGAUAUAGGAAGGAGCACCAGUGGCGAAGGCGACCACCUGGGCUCAUACUGACACUGAGGUGCGAAAGCGUGGGGAGCAAAAAGG